GAUGAACGCUAGCGGCAGGCCUAACACAUGCAAGUCGAGGGGUAGAGUUAGCUUGCUAACUUGAGACCGGCGCACGGGUGCGUAACGCGUAUGCAAUCUACCUUGUACAGAGGGAUAGCCCAGAGAAAUUUGGAUUAAUACCUCAUAGUAUCUUUACCUGGCAUCGGGUAAUUAUUAAAGUUCCAACGGUACAAGAUGAGCAUGCGUCCCAUUAGUUAGUUGGUAAGGUAACGGCUUACCAAGACAAUGAUGGGUAGGGGUCCUGAGAGGGAGAUCCCCCACACUGGUACUGAGACACGGACCAGACUCCUACGGGAGGCAGCAGUGGGGAAGU
rnacentral:rRNA from 1 species